GACAGAGGUCCCAAGCGUUGUUCGGAUUCAUUGGGCGUAAAGGGUGCGUAGGCGGCGCGGUAAGUCGGGUGUGAAAUCUCGGGGCUUAACUCCGAAACUGCAUUCGAUACUGCCGUGCUUGAGGACUGGAGAGGAGACUGGAAUUUACGGUGUAGCGGUGAAAUGCGUAGAUAUCGUAAGGAAGACCAGUGGCGAAGGCGGGUCUCUGGACAGUUCCUGACGCUGAGGCACGAAGGCCAGGGGAGCAAACGGG
rnacentral:rRNA from 1 species